AAAGAAAGAGAUCGAUUGUUGGUACAAGUUAAAUCCGAUAAAAGAUGAAGAACGUUAUGAAAACUGUGUUUGUGAUAUGUAUCAUCAUGUGUGUCCUCGUAACACCUACCAUUGCUAGGGUGAGUGCGAGUCGUGGCAGUACAAGGACUUCAACCACAAGAUUGACCCCAGUAGUCCGUGCUGGUGCUCGUGCUGAUGCUCCCUCUACCAACAACUCAUCAUCA